rnacentral:rRNA from 1 species
AACGAACGCUGGCGGCAUGCCUAACACAUGCAAGUCGAACGAAGGCUUCGGCCUUAGUGGCGCACGGGUGCGUAACGCGUGGGAAUCUACCCUUAGGUUCGGAAUAACUCAGGGAAACUUGAGCUAAUACCGGAUGAUGUCGCAAGACCAAAGAUUUAUCGCCUUUGGAUGAGCCCGCGUAGGAUUAGCUAGUUGGUGGGGUAAAGGCCUACCAAGGCGACGAUCCUUAGCUGGUCUGAGAGGAUGAUCAGCCACACUGGGACUGAGACACGGCCCAGACUCCUACGGGAGGCAGCAGUGGGGAAUAUUGGACAAUGGGCGAAAGCCUGAUCCAGCAAUGCCGCGUGAGUGAUGAAGGCCUUAGGGUUGUAAAGCUCUUUUACCCGGGAUGAUAAUGACAGUACCGGGAGAAUAAGCUCCGGCUAACUCCGUGCCAGCAGCCGCGGUAACAC